rnacentral:rRNA from 1 species
AUGGAGGUCUCCAAGGCCCCUUCCUCUUCUGGUUUGGCAACCCGCCAGCCCUCCAAAGAGAUUCUUAAGACAUGGCACAAUGCCAAUGCGGUGUGCUUCGAUGUGGAUAGCACUGUAUGCUUGGAUGAGGGUAUUGACGAGCUUGCUGAUUUCUGUGGGGCUGGGCAGGCAGUUGCCGAGUGGACGACAAAGCAAUUGUCAUAG